rnacentral:lncRNA from 1 species
AUGAAAACACUAAUCAUACAGCCUAAGAACUCAGUACAGUUGCCCCCACAUUUCCUUUAACCAUUUCAUCUCGUUUUCCUUUGGCUGCUGAGCAAGGGGCACAAAACAGCAAACUUGUUUCAUUCUUUGUACACAAGCCCCUCUGAUUUAAUUUAGGGCUGCUGGGUAUAGCAAAUAAAAAUGUAGGAUGCUUACAGUUCCCGUCAUUGCUCAGUGUGUUAACGACUUGACAUUGUUUCUGCAAGGAUGCAGGUUCAGUCCCUGGCCUUGCUCAAUGUGUUAGGAUCUGGCUUUGCCACAUGCUGUGUCAUAGAUUGCAGAUGUGGCUCAGAUCCGGUGUUGCUGUGACUGGGGCAUAAGCCACAGCUGCCAUUUCGGAUCAACCCCUGGCUCGGAAACUUCCAUAUGCCUAGAUGUAGCCAUAAAAAGAAAAAAAAUGCUGAGAUAAAUUUGCAUUUUGAAAAACAAGCCAUAAUAUUUUAGUAUUAGUAUAUCCCAUGCAAUAUUUGGUACAUACAUAAAUUUUUUAAUUAUUCAAUGUUUACUUGAAAUUCAAAUUUAAUCAGGUUCCCUGAAUUUUACUUGGUAAACUUACUCUAUAUGCCCUACAAUUUACAUUGUAUUUUAGAACUCACCCCAUUAUUAAAGGAAAUAAGAGAGCUGUCAGGGAUAGAAAAACUGGAAAAGCACCAAUUUGUGAAUGAGAAAAUGUACACAAAAGCCCUCUAUAACUUUAUAACGUGUGAUACCAGUAGUUCUCAAUGGGUCAUGACAGAGAAGAGAGAAAAACUGAAAUCAUUGAGAAAUAUCUUCCCUCAGAUUGAAGCCACUACAUUGUAUCAAUAAUAUUAUGUAGUACUUUGCCAUUUUUAUUCUCAUCUUAGAGCCAGUGGUUAUAAACACAAGCUUUGGGGUAAAACUAACCUAAAUUUGAACCACAGCUCUAUUACUUACUUACUGUUUGAUCCUAGACCAGAUACUUAACUUCCCCUAAGCCUUCUCUUUUUCAUAUUUAAAAUUAAAACAAUGAUACCUCCUCAUAUGGCAAAGGAAAGCAUUAAAAAAGAUAUAUCCUCUUUUUAAAGCACUUAGAACAUUACCUGGCACAUGGGAAGACCUUGUUAAUAGAAUGUUAUUAUUCUUAUCAUAUUGUGCAAAUUGUUUUUACCAUGCCCAUUAAUUAAAGAUAAAGCUCCCUGGCAAUCACAGUCAGAAAAGAUCUUCUACCCUGGCUUAUCUAUGAACAGAGUUUGCUGGGGUGCAAGUGAGAAGAGCCAGUCACUUGUAAUCUGCAGAAUAUCUGGCUCUGCAUGAACAUUAAUCUGAAAAGUCAGGAGCCCAGGGAAAAUUUCUCCUUCCUUAUGCUAGCUCUUGUUAGAAGCUUUCCAGGCUGAAUUCCUUCCCCACACAAUGGACAGAAGAAAUGAGUCUAUCUGGUUCCCAAGUCUUUCAUCCCUUAGUAUCCAGGGGAGAUUUGUUUCAGAACUCCUUCAAAUACCAAAAACCAAGGAUGUUCAAAUCUCUUAUCAAAAAUGGCAAAGUGGAGUUCCUGUCAUGGCGCAGUGGUUAAUGAAUCCCGACUAGUAACCAUGAGGUUGCUGGUUCUAUCCCUGGCCUUGCUCAGUGGGUUGGGGAUCCAGCGUUGCCGUGAGCUGUGGUGUGGGUCCCAGACGCAGCUCUGAUCCCGUGUUGCUGCGGCUCCGGCGUAGGCCGUCGGCUAUAGCUUUGAUUUGACCCCUAGCCUGGGAACAUCCAUAUGCCGUGGGAGCGGCCCUCAAAAAGGCAAAAAGACAAAAAAGAAAAGAAAAGAAAAGAAAAAGUUCCUGAAAGCUACAUCUUAAAAACAAAACCAAAAAAAAAAAAGGCAAAGUUCUAAUUGUUAGAGAAAUGCAAAUCAAAACUACAAUAAAACACCACCUCAAACAAGUCAGAAUGGCCAUCAUUAAGAAGUCUACAAAUAGCACAUGCUGGAUAGGUUAUGGAGAAAAGGGAACCCUCCUUCACUUUUGGAGGGAAUGUAAAUUGGUACAAUCACUGUGCAAAACAGUAUGGCAACCUCUCAGAAAACUAAAUAUAGAACUACCAUAUGAUCCAGCAAUACCACUCCUGGGCUUAUAUCCAGACAAAACUAUAAUUCAAUAAGACACAUGCACCCCUAUGUUCAUAACAGCACUAUUCACAAUAGCCAAGACAUAGAAACAACCUAAAUAUCCAUCAACAGAUGAAUUGAUUAAAAAGAUGCGGUACUGGAGUUCCCAUCGUGACUCAGUGGUUAAUGAAUCUGACUAGGAACCAUGAGGUUGUGGGUUCGGUCCCUGCCCUUGCUCAGUGGGUUAAGGAUCCAGCAUUGCCAUGAGCUGUGGUGUAGGUUGCAGACGCGGCUUGGAUCCCGAGUUGCUGUGGCUCUGGCGUAGGCUGGCAGCUACAGCUCCAAUUCAACCCCUAGCCUGGGAACCUCCAUAUGCCGCAGGAGCGGCCCAAGAAAUGGCAAAAAGACAAAGACAAAAAAAAAGAUGUGGUACAUAUAUACAGUGGAGGGAUUAUCAGCCAGGAAAAAGAAAGAAUGCCAUUUGCAGCAACAUGGAUGGAACUAGGGAUUAUCAUACUAAAUGAAGUAAGUCAGAACAAGAAAGAUAAAUACUGUAUGUUUCACACAGUAUUGUAUGGCACAGAUGAACCUAUCUACCAAACAGAAACAGACUCACAGACAUAGAGAACAGACCUGUGGUUCCCAAGGGGAAGGGGAGAGGGAGAGUGAAUGGGAGGGACUGGGAGUUUGGGGUUAGUAGACGCAAACUAUUACAUUUAGAACAGAUAAGCAAUGAGGUUCUACUUAUAGCACAGGGAACCAGCUCCAGUCUCUUGAGAUAGACCAUGAAGAAUGAUAAUACAAGAAAGGGAAUGCAUAUAUAUGUAUGACUAGGUCAUUUUGCUGUAUAGCAUAAAUUGGCACAGCAUUGUAAAUCAACUAUACCUUAAUAAAAAAUUUAAAAAUUUUUUAAAUUACAAAAUUACAAAAUAAAAUAGCAUUGUAUUUGCAUAUAACCUAUGCACAGUCCCCCAGUUCUUUAAAUAAUCUCUUAAUUACCUAUAAUAUCUAAUACUAUAUAAGGACUAUGUAAAUAGUUGUAAAUUUACGUGAAUGUUAUGUAAAUAGUUUCCAGCAUGCAACAAAUUCAAAUUUUGCUUUUGGGGACUUUCCAGGGUUUUUUUAACAAGUAUUUUCAAUCCUCAGUUUGUUUGAAUCCAAGGUAGGUUGAAUUCGUAAAUGUGGAGCACGUGGACAUAGAGGGUCAAAGGUAUAGAGCUUCCUCUAUAAUUCCCUUUUGACUUUGCUCUGUGUGGUCAGAAAUAUGUAUUUUAGCAUGAUAUUCCUGCAUAAUCAAAAAGGGUUCCCAGAAAUCUAGUUCUGUUCUUAGAAGUCAACAUUCCUCACACCUGAUCUGCCUGCCUGGUUUCUUUCUUUCACAUAAAUAUAACAACAGAAUUGGCCAGAGGCCCCCUAGGCAACACAGUGAAGGAGCUGUAUGACUGGGGGGAGGAGUUGUCACAUUGCUCCAGGCAUUCGUUCUGCGUGGGCAAGGCUCUCUAAUCACAUACCCUGAAGGCUUACGUUGCAUUUUCAGGCUUAUUACCUUAUUAGAGGAAAUAGGACAGCUGCUUCCCUGCAAGAAAUGAUGGGAAAGCCCAAUUUGUGAAAUGUGUUCCAUUUCAAAGUCUGUGGCUUACGGGCAACAAGGAGUUAGCAGAAGCAAUUUAUAACACAAUUUCAAACGCACCCUAAGUCUGGAGUUUCUCUUAAGGAUUUCUACCUUUCUAGCAUGCCUGAGGAAGUGAAGGACUGCUUGUAAAAGUCUUUGCUACCUAUAGAGACAGCAGAUGCCAGCACAGUUAGAGUGAUAGAGGCUGCAGGUGCCUUGCUCCCUGGUGCCCUGACACCACAUGGAUAUUUUGCACCUGAUCGGUUUUAAACCUUUUAAUAGACACCUAGAAUUAUACCACUAAAUAACAGGGAAAUAAGUGUAUAGCCUCUUGAGUUUUCUUACAGAAAAAGAAAAUGAUUUCCUAGGACUCAGGAUUCUGUUUUUUCAAAAUGCACUCCCACCUGCCAAACUAAUUAGCGGAGGACAUCCCCAGGUGGACCAGAUGCACAUCCUUUGUCUGCAUUACAUUCCUAAGAUGUUCUUUCAGACAAUGAACUUUCCCCCGAUGCUUAGGCUAAAAAGGAGAUAAAUAACUAGAUGGCAGACAAGUUACAGCACACCUAAAUGGUAUGUGCCUUGUUAUCCUACACAGGUCCCUUGGAAAUGCCAUCUCCUUAGACCUUCCACUAGCCCCAUAUUCAAUAGGGAAAAGGGAACUAACUACUGGUGAUAGUAAUUCUUAUCCUCUCCAUUCUAUCCUCUUGCCUUUUCUUGAUGCAUCCAGCAGCCCUGCCCACAACAUCUAGGGGAAUAAUCCAUCACCAAGUACACACAAUAAUAACAAUAAAUAUAUCAGUUUAUUAAUUAUCCAUUUUUAACUUUUAUUAUCUUCAAAAAUUAAGAUCAUACCUUUUUAGUACAAAAGUGAUUUCAGAAUGCAGUCAGUCCACAAAUGCUGAGUUCCUAGUGUUUUCUGCCCACAGUGCUAGCAAUAGGUGUGACCUAUAAGAAAGAUGAUCAGAAUCCCUACUCAUAGUCCAAAUGUCUGAAUUUUCAAAGUGUGCAGACGUUAAUCAAUUUUUUAUAAUUAAGAUUCAAAAUGCUUAAUAUUUGAGAAUAUUCUGUUUCUUCCUUUUAUGUAAUGUGUCAUGCCUUUUAGAUCAAUACUGAAAUUUAAGAGAACACAUUUCACCAGAAAGGAGUAGUGAUAGAAUAUUUAGAUGGGAUGGCUCACUAGAUAUUCUAUCACGGGACUAUUAGUAGGUAGCCUAGUGACAGAAUAUCCCUGAAAUUGACUAUGAAAACAAUGAGGUGACAUAAGCAACAGCUCUUAACCUCUCUGAUCAGAAAUACAGCUCUGGCUUAAAAAAAGGGAUGGAUGGGUAAAAUAUUCAGAAAGAAGGUGCACAUUUACGACUGCCUUGUUGAAAAUACAGACCUAGGAGAGAGCUGGGAUACACAUUAUGGGGCCAGUCUCAAAACAGAAAUUGUAGGCAUGGCACAAAAUCUAAUAUGUAACAAUAAUCACAUAAUGCCAGGUCUUUGGGUUCUACAUUUGAUGGUACUAAAGAAAAAAAUACUCUUCCAAAGAUGACAUUGUCUAAAAAGUAGAUACUUCAGGGCCUCCUCAUAGCUGACUCCCCUUCAAAGCAAAUGAGGAGUUUACCAGUUCUUAGCACUCCAACUAACUCAGAGCAAGGAGCCUCCAUCCAAGUCUAUCAGUAAUGAACAGGCUGCAUCAGGAUAUCAAAAUGCAAUGAGCUGGGCCACCGUACUUAAACUUUGAGGGAAAAUAUGGAACCUAGACUUCAAAGGUUGACUUCAAUUUUUAUCCACAGUAACAACAUUCAAUCAUUCUUUCAGGAAAUAUUUAAGCUCCUAGCAUGCGCCACACACUGGGUUGGGCACUGGGAAUACGAUACCCAGGAAUACACAAGUGCUCCAGGUCUCUGCCCUGCCUGGUACACAAGGAAUUAUGGCAGAGUUGGGUUGGAGAAGUAUGACAGAUUGUAACUUGGUAGAUCCAACCAGCCAGAAAAACAGUUGUUCAGCGUUUAGCCUGCCUUAAACACUAGCACAGUGGGUAGUGGCUAGAUCCAUCCAUUCGUUGCUCACAUAUUACUGAGUGCCUACAAGGUGCC